UACGAAGGGGGCUAGCGUUGUUCGGAAUUACUGGGCGUAAAGCGCGCGCAGGCGGUUCUCCAAGUCAGGGGUGAAAGCCCGGAGCUCAACUCCGGAAUUGCCAUUGAAACUGUUGAACUCGAGGACGAGAGAGGUGAGUGGAAUUCCCAGUGUAGAGGUGAAAUUCGUAGAUAUUGGGAAGAACACCGGUGGCGAAGGCGGCUCACUGGCUCGUUUCUGACGCUCAGGCGCGACAGCGUGGGGAUCAAACAGG
rnacentral:rRNA from 1 species